rnacentral:rRNA from 1 species
AUUGAACGCUGGCGGCAGGCCUAACACAUGCAAGUCGAACGAGUGGCGGACGGGUGAGUAAUGUCUGGGAAACUGCCUGAUGGCGGGGGAUAACUACUGAAAACGGUAGAUACUACCGCAUACCAUCAGAUGUGCCCAGAUGGGAUUAGCUAGGUGGUGGGGUAACGGCUCACCAAGGCGAACAUCCCUAGCUGGUCUGAGAGGAGGACCAGCCACACUGGAACGGAGACACGGUACAGACUCCUACGGGAGGCAGAAGUGGGGAAUAUUGCACAAGGGGCGCAAGCCUGAUGCAGCAAUGCGGCGUGUAUGAAGAAGGCCUUCGGGUUGUAAAGUACUUUCAGCGGGGAGGCGUUACUCACAGAAGAAGCACCGGCUAACUCCGUGCCAGCAGCCGCGGUAAUAC